rnacentral:rRNA from 1 species
GUGUCAGCCGCCGCGGUAAUACAGAGGGUGCGAGCGUUAAUCGGAAUUACUGGGCGUAAAGCGUGCGUAGACGGUUGUUUAAGUCAGAUGUGAAAGCCCCGGGCUCAACCUGGGAAUUGCAUUUGAGACUGAAUAGCUAGGGUGCGGAAGAGGGAAGCGGAAUUUCCGGUGUAGCAGUGAAAUGCGUAGAUAUCGGAAGGAACAUCAGUGGCGAAAGCGGCUUCCUGGUCCAGCACCGACGUUCAGGCACGAAAGCGUGGGGAGCAAACAGGAUUAGAUACCCUGGUAGUCC